rnacentral:rRNA from 1 species
GCGAACGCUGGCGGCAGGCUUAACACAUGCAAGUCGAGCGGGCGUAGCAAUACGUCAGCGGCAGACGGGUGAGUAACGCGUGGGAACGUACCUUUUGGUUCGGAACAACACAGGGAAACUUGUGCUAAUACCGGAUAAGCCCUUACGGGGAAAGAUUUAUCGCCGAAAGAUCGGCCCGCGUCUGAUUAGCUAGUUGGUGAGGUAAUGGCUCACCAAGGCGACGAUCAGUAGCUGGUCUGAGAGGAUGAUCAGCCACAUUGGGACUGAGACACGGCCCAAACUCCUACGGGAGGCAGCAGUGGGGAAUAUUGGACAAUGGGCGCAAGCCUGAUCCAGCCAUGCCGCGUGAGUGAUGAAGGCCCUAGGGUUGUAAAGCUCUUUUGUGCGGGAAGAUAAUGACGGUACCGCAAGAAUAAGCCCCGGCUAACUUCGU